rnacentral:misc_RNA from 1 species
AACGCACAUUGCGCCCGCUAGCAUUCUGGCGGGCAUGCUUGUUCGAGCGUCCUCAAAAACCCUCGGGCCCUGGAGACUUGUCUUCGGCGGCCCGGUGUUGGGAUGCCGCGGCUGCCGCGGCUCCUUAAAACCAGUGGCGGACCUCCCUGUGGCCCUGGCGUAGUAAUUAAUCCUCGCCUUCGGCUUCCGGGAACGCCCUGCCCCGAGAACCCAUCUCAACCAUUUGGACCUCGAAUCAAGUAGGAAUACCCGCUGAACUUAA